rnacentral:miRNA from 1 species
GCUACAACACAGAACAUGGGCG